GGAAUAUUGGGCAAUGGGGGAAACCCUGACCCAGCAACGCCGCGUGAGGGAAGAAGGUUUUCGGAUCGUAAACCUCUGUCCCAGGUGAAGAGAAAGAGACGGUAGCCUGGGAGGAAGCCCCGGCUAACUACGUGCCAGCAGCCGCGGUAAUACGUAGGGGGCGAGCGUUGUCCGGAAUGACUGGGCGUAAAGGGCGUGUAGGCGGCCUGAUAAGUCUGGAGUGAAAGUCCUGCUUUUAAGGUGGGAAUUGCUUUGGAUACUGUCGGGCUUGUGUGCGGAAGAGGUAAGUGGAAUUCCCAGUGUAGCGGUGAAAUGCGUAGAGAUUGGGAGGAACACCAGUGGCGAAGGCGACUUACUGGACUGUACCUGACGCUGAGGCGCGAGAGUGUGGGGAGCAAACA
rnacentral:rRNA from 1 species